rnacentral:rRNA from 1 species
AACGAACGCUGGCGGCAGGCUUAACACAUGCGAGUCGAACGCCCCGCAAGGGGAGUGGCAGACGGGUGAGUACCGCGUGGGAACAUACCCUUUCCUGCGGAAUAGCUCCGGGAAACUGGAAUUAAUACCGCAUACGCCCUACGGGGGAAAGAUUUAUCGGGGAAGGAUUGGCCCGCGUUGGAUUAGCUAGUUGGUGGGGUAAAGGCCUACCAAGGCGACGAUCCAUAGCUGGUCUGAGAGGAUGAUCAGCCACAUUGGGACUGAGACACGGCCCAAACUCCUACGGGAGGCAGCAGUGGGGAAUAUUGGACAAUGGGCGCAAGCCUGAUCCAGCCAUGCCGCGUGAGUGAUGAAGGCCUUAGGGUUGUAAAGCUCUUUCACCGAUGAAGAUAAUGACGGUAGUCGGAGAAGAAGCCCCGGCUAACUUCGUG